GAUGAAGAACGCAGCGAAAUGCGAUACGUAAUGUGAAUUGCAGAAUUCAGUGAAUCAUCGAGUCUUUGAACGCACAUUGCGCCCCCUGGUAUUCCGGGGGGCAUGCCUGUCCGAGCGUCAUUGCUGCCCUCAAGCACGGCUUGUGUGUUGGGCCUCCGUCCUCCUCCCGGGGGGCGGGCCCGAAAGGCAGCGGCGGCACCGCGUCCGGUCCUCGAGCGUAUGGGGCUUCGUCACCCGCUCUUGUAGGCCCGGCCGGCGCUUGCCGACACAUCAAUCUUUUUUCCAGGUUGACCUCGGAUCAGGUAGGGAUACCCGCUGAACUUAAGCAUAUCAAUGAGCGGAGGA
rnacentral:misc_RNA from 1 species